GACAUGCUGUAUUUUGAUUCUAGAAGCCUUGUUGUCACGGGAGAUGCUAUACAGGGAGGGGCCGCAGAGAGUGUGUAUAUAAAAGAGGUCCUUCAACUCCAAACUGCCUGGUCACUAAAGACUCUUACCAGGAUACUAGCCAGCUCUCUGCUACCACCUUCAUCAUCGUCAUCAUCACCAUCAUCAUCAUUUUGUGAACUGGGACAGUUGGAAUGGGACUUGUUUUGCUUUUUGGAACCAGGUGGAAUCAAUGUCAGAGGAAGUGGAAUGAAGUGGGGGGCAGGUCACAUGACUGCUGUAUGAUGUCAUCGGCGGGUGUCCGUGUUAUUGGGCUGAGGGGCCACAGCCGAGGUCCUGGCAGACAGCUCUGUGGUUUGGCCGUCCUCACAGGUGCCUGUCUGACUCAGACACAUCUGACUGGGAAGAAGGAAAAGGUGAAGAAGAAGAAUGUAUUUGACUAGUGGUGCUGAAACUAAGAAGAAGAGCCCCCUUUAUAUGCUGUAUGCUGACAUUUACAAUGAUGCCAAAUACCUACUGAAUACCAUUUGGUAGACAACUAGCUAAUUCUUCCAAGUAAGUCCCAGAGAGUAGCCAUCUGCAGUAUUUCUCUGGAAAUAAAUACCAGCUGACACAGGACUGGACUUUAUAAAUAAA